rnacentral:rRNA from 1 species
GGAUUAGAUACCCUGGUAGUCCACGCCGUAAACGAUGUUCACUCGCUGUCUGCGAUACACAGUAGGCGGCUGAGCGAAAGCAUUAAGUGAACCACCUGGGGAGUACGAUCGCAAGGUUGAAACUCAAAGGAAUUGACGGGGGCCCGCACAAGCGGAGGAACAUGUGGUUUAAUUCGAUGAUACGCGAGGAACCUUACCUGGGCUUAAAUGUAGGUUGCAUAAGCUGGAAACAGUUUUUUCCUUCGGGACUACUUACAAGGUGCUGCAUGGUUGUCGUCAGCUCGUGCCG